rnacentral:rRNA from 1 species
UCGCCUCUUGCAAAAACGAGAAAUAAGAGGUCCCGCCUGCCCUGUGACUAUAAGUUUAACGGCCGCGGUAUUUUGACCGUGCGAAGGUAGCGCAAUCACUUGUCUUUUAAAUGGAGACCUGUAUGAAUGGCACGACGAGGGCUUAACUGUCUCCUUUUUCCAGUCAAUGAAAUUGAUCUCCCCGUGCAGAAGCGGGGAUACUUACAUAAGACGAGAAGACCCUAUGGAGCUUUAGACACCAAAGUAGACCAUGUUAAUCACCCCUGAACAAAGGGCUAAACCAGACGGCUCCCUACUCUAAUGUCUUUGGUUGGGGCGACCGCGGGGAAACACAAAACCCCCACGUGGAAUGGGAAUACCUUUCCUACAACCUAGAGCUCCCGCUCUAAUUAACAGAAAUUCUGACCAAUCAGAUCCGGCAAUGCCGAUCAACGGACCGAGUUACCCUAGGGAUAACAGCGCAAUCCCCUUUUAGAGCCCAUAUCGACAAGGGGGUUUACGACCUCGAUGUUGGAUCAGGACAUCCUAAUGGUGCAGCCGCUAUUAAGGGUUCGUUUGUUCAACGAUUAAAG